GACGAACGCUGGCGGCGUGCUUAACACAUGCAAGUCGAACGGAAAGGCCCUGCUUUUGUGGGGUGCUCGAGUGGCGAACGGGUGAGUAACACGUGAGUAACCUGCCCUUGACUUUGGGAUAACUUCAGGAAACUGGGGCUAAUACCGGAUAGGAGCUCCUGCUGCAUGGUGGGGGUUGGAAAGUUUCGGCGGUUGGGGAUGGACUCGCGGCUUAUCAGCUUGUUGGUGGGGUAGUGGCUUACCAAGGCUUUGACGGGUAGCCGGCCUGAGAGGGUGACCGGCCACAUUGGGAAUGAGAUACGGCCCGGACUCAGGCGGGAGGAAGCAGGGGGGAAUGUUGCACAAUGGGCGGAAGCUGUAUGCAGCAACGCCGCGGGCGGAAUGACGGCCUUCGGGUUGUAAACCGAUUUCGCCUGUCACAAAGCGUGAGUGACGGUAAUGGGUAAAGAAGCACCGGCUAAUUACGGC
rnacentral:rRNA from 1 species